rnacentral:rRNA from 1 species
UACGUAGGGUGCGAGCGUUGUCCGGAAUUAUUGGGCGUAAAGAGCUCGUAGGCGGUCUGUCGCGUCUGCUGUGAAAACCCGAGGCUCAACCUCGGGCCUGCAGUGGGUACGGGCAGACUAGAGUGCGGUAGGGGAGAAUGGAAUUCCUGGUGUAGCGGUGGAAUGCGCAGAUAUCAGGAGGAACACCGGAGUGGAGCGGAAUCGCAGUUGGCCUUGGACC